rnacentral:rRNA from 1 species
CCUACGGGAGGCAGCAGUGAGGAAUAUUGGUCAAUGGAGGCAACUCUGAACCAGCCAUGCCGCGUGAAGGAUGACGGCCCUAUGGGUUGUAAACUUCUUUUGAAUAGGAAGAAACUUAUCUACGUGUAGAUAACUGACGGUACUAUUAGAAUAAGGAUCGGCUAACUCCGUGCCAGCAGCCGCGGUAAUACGGAGGAUCCAAGCGUUAUCCGGAUUCAUUGGGUUUAAAGGGUCCGCAGGCGGGGUAUUAAGUCAGUGGUGAAAGCCGGCAGCUUAACUGUCGAAUUGCCAUUGAUACUGGUACUCUUGAGUGUAGUUGAAGUAGGCGGAAUAAGUCAUGUAGCGGUGAAAUGCAUAGAUAUGACUUAGAACACCGAUUGCGAAGGCAGCUUACUAAGCUACUACUGACGCUCAUGGACGAAAGCGUGGGGAGCGAACAGGAUUAGAUACCCUGGUAGUCCACGCCGUAAACGAUGAUCACUCGCUGUUGGCAAUAUACAGUCAGCGGCCAAGCGAAAGCAUUAAGUGAUCCACCUGGGGAGUACGCUCGCAAGAGUGAAACUCAAAGGAAUUGACGGA